AGUCAACAUGCCCAGGGGACGUGGAUAACCUCGGGAAACUGAGGAUAAACCGCGAUAGGUCAUCACUUCUGGAAUGGGUAAUGACUUAAACCUAUAUGGCCCCUGGAUUGGACUGCGGCCGAUCAGGCUGUUGGUGAGGUAAUGGCCCACCAAACCUGUAACCGGUACGGGCUCUGAGAGGAGGAGCCCGGAGAUGGGCACUGAGACAAGGGCCCAGGCCCUAUGGGGCGCAGCAGGCGCGAAACCUCUGCAAUAGGCGAAAGCUUGACAGGGUUACUCUGAGUGAUUUCCGUUAAGGAGAUCUUUUGGCACCUCUAAAAAUGGUGCAGAAUAAGGGGUGGGCAAGUCUGGUGUCAGCCGCCCGCGGUAAUACCAGCACCCCGAGUGGUCGGGACGUUUAUUGGGCCUAAAGCAUCCGUAGCCGGUUCUACAAGUCUUCCGUUAAAUCCACCUGCUUAACAGAUGGGCUGCGGAAGAUACUAUAGAGCUAGGAGGCGGGAGAGGCAAGCGGUACUCGAUGGGUAGGGGUAAAAUCCGUUGAUCCAUUGAAGACCACCAGUGGCGAAGGCGGCUUGCCAGAACGCGCUCGACGGUGAGGGAUGAAAGCUGGGGGAGCAAACCGGAUUAGAUACCCGGGUAGUCCCAGCUGUAAACGAUGCAGACUCGGUGAUGAAUUGGCUUAUUGCUAAUUCAGUGCCGCAGGGAAGCCGUUAAGUUUGCCGCCUGGGGAGUACGGUCGCAAGACUGAAACU
rnacentral:rRNA from 1 species